rnacentral:rRNA from 1 species
AUUGAACGCUGGCGGCAGGCCUAACACAUGCAAGUCGAACGAGUGGCGGACGGGAGAGUAAUGUAUGGGAAACUGCCCGCUGGGGGGGGAUAACUACAGGGAACGGUAGCUAAUACAGCAUACCAUCUGAUGUGCCCUGAUGUGAUUAGCUUGUAGGUGGGGUAACGGCUCACCUAGGCGACGAUCCCUAGCUGGUCUGGGAGGAUGACCAGCCACACGGGAACUGAGACACGGUCCAAACUCCUACGGGAGGCAGCAGUGGGGAAUAGUGCACAAUGGGCGCAAGCCUGAUGCAGCCAUGCCGCGUGUAUGAAGAAGGCCUUCGGGUUGUAAAGUACUUUCAGCGGUGAGGCGUUACGCGCAGAAGAAGCACCGGCUAACUCCGUGCCAGCAGCCGCGGUAAUAC